CUAUUUAACAUGUGAAUGGCCCAGCUCACACAAGCAAGCGUGGAGCAAUUCCUAUCCACACGUAGUCUAGUUUUCCCAUGUGGGCCUCACAUCCGAAUGUGUGGAUUCUGUUUUCCUACACGCCCCAUACGCUUCAUCAUGUUAGACACAUCCCGGUAUGUGCGAGCAUGCACAUGCACACCAAGCUGCUAGCUUGCGUGGUUUGCCUUUGUGGGAAUCUCCCUUUUCCUGCAUGCGUUGCGCCUAGGGAUCCGCAUUUGCAUGCUAUACGGCGUGCAUGAAUGGCUUCUUUAUGCUUGUGCUUGCCCGUUGUGUGUGUUGCAUGCCCAUCUU
rnacentral:lncRNA from 1 species